GUCUUUUUGAUUAAAAUUUAAAGUCUAACCUGCCCUAUGAUUAAUUAAAUGGCCGCAGUAUUUUGACUGUGCGAAGGUAGCAUAAUCAUUAGUUUCUUAAUUAGGAACUGGAAUGAAUGGUUUGACAAAAGGGGUUCUGUCUCUUGCUUAAGAUUAGAAUUUUAUUUUUGAGUAAAAAAGCUUAAAUUUUUUUAAAAGACGAGAAGACCCUAUAGAUUUUUAUAUUUAUUUAUUCAAGUUUUUUAUGUAUUAUUAAAUUUUGUUUAAUAAAGUAUUUGGUUGGGGUGAUUAAGAAAUUUAUUUAACUUUUUUUAUUUUAUUUAUUGAUUUAUAUAUAAUUGAUCCGUUUUUCGAUUAAAAGAUUAAAUUACCUUAGGGAUAACAGCGUAAUUUUCUUGGAGAGUUCUUAUUGAUAAGAGAGAUUGCGACCUCGAUGUUGGAUUAAAGUUAAAUUUUGGUGUAGAAGCUGAUAUUUUAAGUCUGUUCGACUUUUGAAACUUUACAUGAUCUGAGUUUAAACCGGCGUGAGCCAGGUUGGUUUCUAUCUUUAAUAAAUAACAAAUUAUUUAGUACGAAAGGACCAAUAGUUUAAUAAAUUAUUUUUUUUGUGAAUAUAUUUAUUAUUUUGGCAGAAUAGUGCGAUGGAUUUAGAAUCUUUACAUGUAUAAAUUACAAAUAAUACUUGUUUUUAAAUGAUGGAUUUCUUUACUUUUUUAGCAUAAUUGUUCUUUUGGUAGUGUAUUGGUAGGUGUUGCUUUUUUAACUUUAUUAGAACGUAAAGGUUU
rnacentral:rRNA from 1 species